rnacentral:misc_RNA from 1 species
CUGCAGCCCGACUUGAGCGGAAAUGCUUUUUGUGUAGCGCAGCGGAACAAAAAGAUUGGGAGCGGAAGGCGGAUAAGCU